UAACUGGGAGAGCUUUCAAGCAAAUGCUGCUAAAAUUGUUCAUAUUUUCCUUCUGAAGAUUCACACACACGAAUCAACUAGAAAUUGACUGUAGCAUUCAAACUACACGAAACCUCAAGAUUUUCAAAGCGGCUUGGAGUCGAAAGGUAGAAGACGGUUUUUUCGGUUAGACAGUGAGACGUGACUCGGGAGUACGGGGGGAAAUGAAAAACAAGGGAUCCGUGAAUCCGUCUCCUGCAGGUGAUCCUUGAGAAACCAGAUGCAAACUGCUGCAAUUAUGAACAUAAUUAUGAACAUUUAUUAAGUGUGAAGACCUCAGCAGUUGCGCUUGAGCGACUGGCAGGAUCACAAGAGGGAAAGGAAUUGCAACCCCUAACUCCUGGGGGACCCCAGUGUGACAGCCAACG